UACGUAGGGUGCAAGCGUUGUCCGGAAUUAUUGGGCGUAAAGAGCUCGUAGGCGGUCUGUCGCGUCGGCUGUGAAAACCCGGAGCUCAACUCCGGGCCUGCAGUCGAUACGGGCAGACUGGAGUUCGGCAGGGGAGACUGGAAUUCCUGGUGUAGCGGUGAAAUGCGCAGAUAUCAGGAGGAACACCGAUGGCGAAGGCAGGGUCUCUGGGCCGAUACUGACGCUGAGGAGCGAAAGCGUGGGGAGCGAACAGG
rnacentral:rRNA from 1 species